CACAGGGCCCCCCUCCAUGCCCUACCUAUUAGUGAAGAUCCGUUAGGCAGACAUUAUAGUUGCACAGGCACUUUGAUGACUCUAGAGGACCUUGGGCCAAUCGCACAUCCCCAUGACGGCGACGGCGCAUUCGGAUGUCUGCCCUAUCAACUUUCGAUGGACUUUCUGCGCCUACCAUGGUGACCACAGGUGACGGGGAAACAGGGUUCGAUUCCGGAGAGGGAUCUUGAGAAACAGCUACCACAUCCAAGGAAGGCAGCAGGCGCACAAAAUACCCACUCCCGACACGGGGAGGUAGUGAAG